CACUUACUGUUUUUAAAGCAUAACAUUUUGCCAAUGGAUUAUUACAAAAAUUAAAUAAUGGCAAGAAAUGGGAUGUGUCUCAGCACGAAUGCUUUUUGAAGGUAAUAUUUCUUGUUUACUUGGGGUUCCAUAAAUUUUUCACAACAACAAUAAAAAAAAUUAGAAUAUAUAUAGACUGAUAGCCUUUCAAGAGGGUAGGAAUACACUUUACUGUCAGUCGUCAAGAAUGGUCAUUUCUUGCUACCGUUAAUAUCAAAUAGUUCAGAUUUUACCAUCAUUUGUCAAAAAUAUUUAUCGUGAUAUGUCAGAGCCAGAGGCAGAGGUCUCAAAUAAUUUACAAUGUUGCAGUUACUUUUGGAAAAGAAUUAACGAGAUUUGUCAAAAUCAGUAAAUUUUUAUAUCGUCUUAAAGAAAAUGUACAUUUUAUGUAAUGCACCAAAAAUAAAUGAUAAUGUCAUUUGGCAAGAUCUUUUUUUACCAAAACAUUAUUCAUCAUGAAGGUACCCCAAUUAGUCAUUACGAAUCUCUUUCUAAACCUUUUUUAUACGUCAUAUUUUUAUGGACUAAAGACUUAAAAGGGGGGCAGGACUUUUUUGGGACAUCAGAUUGGUGGUUUUUUAGUGGAAGAAGACGUCAAGUCUUCUGAAGACUUAGAGGGGCCGACCAUUUGGCUUUGAGUCUCCGUUAAGCCGCAUUCAUUUCGUGUAUUACAAUUUCAAAACAACUUAGAUUCCUGACACGAUUUUUACACAUGAUUGGGCAUCUGAAUCAUUUAAUUUGUAAAUUAUGAUUGUAAACAAUCACUAUCGUAAAUAUGUCCCUUUUAUUUAUGUAAAUUUUAGAUUUCAUCUCAUCCACAUGAACGUAAUUUGUUUACUUGUAACAGAGAUGUUUUUACUGUAGAUAUUUGUAUUACGCAUGCGUGAAUUUGGUAUCGGUACAACAUCGCCCUGUUUACAAGUUCGCCCUUGAUUUUACGAAUUUGCAUCCUGCAAACAAGAAGAUUUUAUUUUAUAUAAAUAAAAGGAUAUAUAAAGUGUUAUCUUUAUUUCAUGGGUUUCCUUUGUCAUGUGAAUUAGAUGCCUCUUCGUAACAACAUGUGAACCUCCCAUUUAGGAGAAAAAACUCCCGUGUAUGAAAUUUUUCAAGACCCAUAUUUGAUCAUUUCUUACUACUGUACGGGUGUAAUUGACACCUGUGUUAAAUUUUACCUGAACAUCAAAGAAGAUGUAUAAUUAUAUGGCUUCACUUGACAGCUUGGGUGUCAAACAUACUGGUAAUCAACGAUGUUUACCUCCGGCUAUAUAAGCUAACUGCCGUUGUGUUAUCAAAACGAUGUGUAUUGGGAAUAUUGAAAUACUUUUUUGUUACUUCCCUUUGUUUUAUCCUUUCAGUUAUUUUGCUUUAAAAUGUAAAUGGUAAAAGACUAUAAAUGAUAUAUUUUAAUCAAAUAAUCAUAAAGGAUGUUCGAUUAAAUGAAUUNNNNNNNNNNNNNNNNNNNNNNNNNNNNNNNNNNNNNNNNNNNNNNNNNNNNNNNNNNNNNNNNNNNNNNNNNNNNNNNNNNNNNNNNNNNNNNNNNNNNNNNNNNNNNNNNNNNNNNNNNNNNNNNNNNNNNNNNNNNNNNNNNNNNNNNNNNNNNNNNNNNNNNNNNNNNNNNNNNNNNNNNNNNNNNNNNNNNNNNNNNNNNNNNNNNNNNNNNNNNNNNNNNNNNNNNNNNNNNNNNNNNNNNNNNNNNNNNNNNNNNNNNNNNNNNNNNNNNNNNNNNNNNNNNNNNNNNNNNNNNNNNNNNNNNNNNNNNNNNNNNNNNNNNNNNNNNNNNNNNNNNNNNNNNNNNNNNNNNNNNNNNNNNNNNNNNNNNNNNNNNNNNNNNNNNNNNNNNNNNNNNNNNNNNNNNNNNNNNNNNNNNNNNNNNNNNNNNNNNNNNNNNNNNNNNNNNNNNNNNNNNNNNNNNNNNNNNNNNNNNNNNNNNNNNNNNNNNNNNNNNNNNNNNNNNNNNNNNNNNNNNNNNNNNNNNNNNNNNNNNNNNNNNNNNNNNNNNNNNNNNNNNNNNNNNNNNNNNNNNNNNNNNNNNNNNNNNNNNNNNNNNNNNNNNNNNNNNNNNNNNNNNNNNNNNNNNNNNNNNNNNNNNNNNNNNNNNNNNNNNNNNNNNNNNNNNNNNNNNNNNNNNNNNNNNNNNNNNNNNNNNNNNNNNNNNNNNNNNNNNNNNNNNNNNNNNNNNNNNNNNNNNNNNNNNNNNNNNNNNNNNNNNNNNNNNNNNNNNNNNNNNNNNNNNNNNNNNNNNNNNNNNNNNNNNNNNNNNNNNNNNNNNNNNNNNNNNNNNNNNNNNNNNNNNNNNNNNNNNNNNNNNNNNNNNNNNNNNNNNNNNNNNNNNNNNNNNNNNNNNNNNNNNNNNNNNNNNNNNNNNNNNNNNNNNNNNNNNNNNNNNNNNNNNNNNNNNNNNNNNNNNNNNNNNNNNNNNNNNNNNNNNNNNNNNNNNNNNNNNAAUUUGGCCCAGUAGUUUCAGAGGAGAAGAUUUUUGUAAAGUUAACGACGGCAGACGACAGACGACGGACGCCGGACGCCAAGUGCUGAGAAAAGCUCACUUGGCCCUUUGGGCCAGGUGAGCUAAAAAUUAAUUAACAGAUGUUUUGCUCCAUUUCUUCAAAUAUUUAGAACAGUUUGACAUAAGUCCAUGCUUAGUAUUCAUUCUUUUAGAAAUGAAUGCUUGAAACAUAUUUUAUUUGCUCGGUUUUAAAAGAUGAUUUUUUUUGUGAAUGUUGCAUGAUGAUGUUUACACAGGUUUUACUUUUUCAGUGAAUGAACCAGUAAAAUUAUCUGUUGAUAUAUACUGUAAAACUUUUGUGUAUAUCUUAACAUGUUUACCUAUGUCAGAUGAAAGAGGUGUAUAGUGUCAAAUCAUAAAAUUACAAAUGGUUUAGUUUCAAAGCAACUUGUAAGAUUUCUGCAGCUAUUUUUGUUGAAUAGGUGCAGUUUAAGUACUUAGUGCAAUUUAGGUACUGUGACAAUAUAUAUAAAAAGUCUAAAAGAACAAAAUUAAACUUUAUGAAUGAGAACAAAAAUUAAAUGUUGUAAAGGGACGCCACCCAAAUUUGAACGUGAUUUGUGUUUCUGGUAAUAUGCAUUGUGCAUAAGUUUCAUAACCUAAAGGUUGAGGCAAACUAAAGUUAGAGAGCGGAAACCUAUUUUCAGACGUACCAACUGCGAACAAAGGUUACUAACACUUAAUGCCCCAUAAGCCUAUAUAUAGCUAGCUGUGGGGUGCAUAAAUAUGAAUAGCAGAUCAAUAAGUGUGAAAGUCAUGGAACUUGGAUCUAGAGUUUAGGUCAUAAGAUGGAUUGCAAGGCAUUCCCCCUUCCCAAUCCCCUUUAAAAAAAACAAGAAAUAAAUUAUUUAUGCAAAGCACAUACCGUUAACAACGUUUACUGUCUAUUGAAAAGAUGGCCUAUCAAUAACUAGAGGCUCUCAGCCUGUGUCGCUCACCUGUUACUGUAUUUACAGUACUGAUGUCGGCCAUCUUGGUUUGUAGGCGGGGUCAUUAGACAUUUUUUUUAAAUAGAUACCCUAGUAAUGAUUGUGGCCAAGUUUGGUUAAAUUUGGCCCAUAGUUUUAGAAAGAAGAUUGGUACAGUUACAAAAAUGACGAAAAUUGUCAAUAUUGUAUAAAGGACAAUAACUCCUUAAGGUCUUUGAAUUUUGGUUAGUUGACUUAUUUGUAGAUCUUAUUUUGCUAACAUUAUGCUGUUAAGUUUUCUCUAUCUAUAAUCAUAUAAUAGUAUUAAGAUAAUAACCAAAAACUGCAAAAUUUCCUUAAAAUUAAUUUUGGGAGCACCCAACACAGGUUUAGAUCAUCUAAAAUUGUGAGGGAUAGAUCUAUUCUGUGGACAUUUAAAUCUGAAAAUUUGCUAAAUGUCUUAGUUUAAAGAUAUAAACAAAAACUGCAUUUUACCACUUGUUCUAAUUUUAGCCAUGGCAGCCAUUUUGUUUGGUAGGUGGAUAUCUACACAUUUUUAAAACUUUAUACCACAAUUUGAUUGUGGCCAGUUAGUUUAAAUUUGCCAAGCGUUUCAGAGAAGAGAUUUUUGACAAGUUACAAAAAUGACGAAAAAGUGUUAAUUGACUAUAAGGGCAAUAACUCCUUAAGGGGUUGACUGACAAUUUUGGUCAUAUUGACUUAUUGUAGGUCUUAUUUUGCGAACAUUAUUCUGUUACAGUUUAUCUUAUCAUAAUAGAUUCAAGAUAAUAAAAUUUCCUUAAAAUUACCAAUUCAGGGGCAGCAACCCAACAACAGGUUGUCCGAUUUGUCUGAAAAUUUCAGAUAGAUCUUGACCUGAUCAACAAAUUUACCCCAUAUCAGAUUUGCUCUCAAUGCUUCGGUUUCAGAGUUACAAGCCAAAAUCUACAUUUUACCCCUAUGUUCUAUUUUUAGCCAUGGUGGCCAUCUUGGUUUGAUGGCCAGGUCAUCGGACACAUUUUUUAAACUAGAUACCUCAAGGACGAUUGUGGCCAAGUUUGGUUAAAUUUAGCCAAGAAGUUUCAGAGAAGAAGAUUUUUGUAAAAGUUUAGGAAUGACGGACGACGGACGCCAAGUCAUGAAGUGAUGAGAAAAGCUCACUUGACCUUUCAGGUCAGGUGAGCUAAAAAUAGCAUAUUAAUAUGAGUACAAACCAAAGCUUGCUUUAUUCUCUGUCCAUUGCAUCUGUCCCCUCCUAGUGUCCAGACCAAAAUAAUUAUAAAGACAACAACUACUAUGGUUAUCAGCAUAAACAAAUAAACAAAUAAAUCAUCUCUGUUUACCUGAAAAGGAAAGAACAGUAAAAGUGACGGCACCAAAAUUCAAACUUGGUCUGCAUAUUGUAGAAAUAAGCAUUGUGUAUAAGUUUCAUAACAUUUGGUUGAGGCAAACUUAAGUUAGAGAACGGAAACCAGCUUGGGGUCGUACAGAGAUAUGUACUGAUAUACAGACGGACAAUGGUAAAACUUAAUGCCCCCUCCACUUCGGUUAAAAAGUUAUCUUAGUUUAGCCUAUCAUGUUACAGUUAGUAAAUUUAUUUCUUAUUUUCUAUGUUUUAACCCCACUUUUAAGCACAUUUUUGGAGAUAUUUUGUGUAAGCCAGUUUUUAUUGGUGGAGGAAGCCAGAGUGUUAGAAAAAACUUCUGACCUUCAAUAGGAAAACUGACAAUCCUAGUCAAUUAAGAUUAGAGUCAAGUGCAGCUGCAAGAGCUAGGUUAGUACUCACAACCUCAGUGUUGACUGGCUAGUGAUUAACAGUAAUAAAUAAUUAGACCACUUGGUCAUCAAGUCCCCCCAUGUUAAUUGAGAAAGAUCUUUCAACAAUAUUCCAAAAAUUUCAAAAUGAGACAACACCAAGAUAAUUAACUUAAUUGAGUUUAAAUUCUUGAAAUUUUGCCAGUUUAAAACUCAUUGAAAAUAUGGGCACACAGAUAUAUAUCGCUGGAAUCACCAGUUUGAAAUACAUGAAACAUUAUAAUGGGUUGCACUUUGAAAAGACAGCUGUUUCACAAACCACACCACUUUUGAGGAAAAAGGAGUAGGGGCAUUAAGGCCUGGAUUUAGCCCAAGAAAAUAAAAUGCUUGAUAACUUUUAACUAGAGGCUCUAAAGAGCCUGUGUCGCUCCCUUGGUCUUGUGCAAUUAAACAUGGCACGAUAAAUUCAGACAUAAUUGUGUUUUGGUGAUAGUGAGUGUUGUAGAUCUUACUUUACUGAACAUCUGUUGCUACAAUUACUCUAUCUAUAAUGAACUGGCCAGUAAUUACAGUGGAAAAAUUUUCUAAAAAUUUACAAAAAUUUAUGAAAAUGUUAAAUUAAAUAUAAAGGGCAAUAACUCCUUAAGGUCAAUGACUAUUUUGGUCAUGUAAACUUAUUUGUAAUCUUAUUUGCUGAACGUUAUUGUGUUACAGUUUAUCUCUAUUCUAAUAACUAGAGGCUCUAAAAGCCUGUGUCGCUCACCUUGGUCUAUGUGCAUAUUAAACAAAGGACACAAAUGGAUUCAUGACAAAAAUUGUUUUUGGUGAUGGUGAUGUGUUUGAAGUUCUACUUUACUGAACGUUUGCUUCUUACAAUUAUAUCUAUAAUGAACUUUGCUCAUUAGUAACAGAGAAAAAUAUUCGGUAAAACUUUACAUAAAUUUACCAAAUUAAUGAAAAUUGUUUAAAAUUGACUAUAAAGGCAAUAACUCCUUAAGGGUCAAUUGACCAUUUAGGUCAUGUUGACUUAUUUAGAUCUACUUUGAUGAACUUAUCGCUGUUUACAGUUAUAUCGCUAUCUAUAAUAGUAUUCAAGAAAUAACCAAAAACAGCAAAAUUUCUUUAAAAAUUACCAAUUGGAGGGUAGCAACCCAACAAAGGGUUGACCGCUUCAUCUGAAAAUUUCAGGGCAGAUAGAUCUUGACCUAAUAAACAUUUUUACACGUGUCAGAUUCUUAAAUUUUUGGUUUUUGAGUUAUAGCAAAAACUGCUUUACCCCUAUGUUCUAUUUUUUAGCCGUGGCGGCCAUCUUGGUUGGUUGACCGGGUCACGCCACACAUUUUUUAAACAAAUACCCCAAAGAUGAUUGUGGCCAACUUUGGAUUAAUUUUGGCCAUAGUUCAGAGGAAAGAUUUUUGUAAAAGAUUACUUAGAUUUAUGAAAAAUGGUUAAAAUUGACAUAAAGGGCAAUAGACUCCUUAAGGGUCAACUGACCAUUUCGGUCAUGUUGACUUAUUUGUAAAUCUAACUUUGCUGAACAUUAUUGCUGUUUAACGUUUAUCUCUAUCUAUAAUAAUAUUCAAGAUAAUAACAAAAAACGAAAAUUCCUCAAAAUUACCAAUUCAGGGCAGCAACCCAACAACGGGUUGACCGAUUCAUCUGAAAAAUCAGGGCAGAUAGAUUUGACCUGAUAAAAUUUUUACCCAUGUCAGAUUUCCUCUAAAUGCUUUGGUUUCGAGUUAUAAGCCAAAACUGCAUUUUACCCCUAUGUUCUUUUUUAGCAGUGGCGGCAUCUUGGUUGGUUGACCGGGUCACGCCAACAUUUUUAAACUAGAUUACCCCAAGAUGAAUGUGGACCAAGUUUGGUUCAAUUUGGCCCAGUAGUUUCAGAGGAGAAGAUUUUUGUAAAAGUUAACGACGACGGACGACAGACGACGGACGACGACGACGACGACGACGGACGCCGACGCAAAUGAUGGGAAAAGCUCACUUGGCCUUCGGCAGGUGAGCUAAAAACGGAAAAUUUCUUAAAAUUACAUUCAGAAGUAACCUAAUAACGGUUGUCCGAUCCAUGUGAAAAAUCAGGCAGAUAGAUCUUGACCUGAUAACAAUUAAACCCUGUAAUUUCUCUUAAUGCUUUGUUUUUGAGUUAUAAGCCAAAAACUGUAUUUUACCCCUAUGUUCUAUCAUUAGCCGUGGCAGCCAUUUUGGUUGAUUGGCCAGGUCACGCCACACAUUUUUUAAACAAUUACCCCCAAUGAUGAUUGUGGCCAGUUUAGUUCAAUUUGGCCCUGUAGUUCAGGAAGAAGAUUUUUGUAAAAGAUUACUAAGAUUUACGAAAAAAUGGUUAAAAAUUGACUAUAAAGGGCAAUAACUCCUUCAGGGGUCAACUGACCAUUUUGGUCAUGCUGACUUAUUUGUAAAUCUUACUUUGCUGAACAUUAUUGCUGUUUACAGUUUAUCUCUAUCUAUAAUAAUAUUCAAGAUAAUAACCAACCAGAUGCUCCGCAGGGCGUAGCUUUAUACGACCGCAGAGGUUGAACACUGAAUGGUUGGGGUAAGUAUGGACACAACAUUCAAGCUGGAUUCAGCUCUAAAUUUGGAUUGUGAUUAAAUAGUUGACACAGCAUAGGUUUCUGAUACAGAAUGAAUGUGUUCUAAUGAACUUAAAAUUUUUGUUUUCUCUUAGAGCAAUUCACUAUGCUGUUGAAUAUCAAUCCUCUCAAAACAAGAAUGUGUCCUCAGUACACGAAUGCCCCACUCGCACUGUCAUUUUCCAUGUUCAGUGGACCGUGAAAUUGGGGUAAAAACUCUAAUUUGGCAUUAAAAUUAGAAAGAUCAUAUCAUAGGGGACAUGUGUACUAAGUUUGAAGUCGAUUGGACUUAAACUUCAUCAAAAACUACCGUGACCAAAAACUUUAACCUGAAGCGGGACAGACGGACGGACGGACGAGCGGACGGACGGACGAACGAACGAACGGACGGACGCACAGACCAGAAAACAUAAUGCCCCUCUACUAUCAUAGGUGGGGCAUAAAAAUGUUUGAAGAAAUUUUCUUUUUUAUUUAUGAAAUUUCAAAUGAGAAAAAUUGAACCCAAUUUUUUUAAUCACAUCCCCCUUUCCCUUAUUCCAAAACUAAUCUCAAUUAAAAUUUCUAAUGGAGUUUGCAACAAUAACUACUCAUUUAAAUACAUCAUAAAAUAUUAAGAUGUAAAAAAAACUGCUUGUUAUCACUGAAUCAGUUGGUAGUAAAAAGUGAAUAUACAUUGUAUAUUGUAUAUAACAAAGAUUUAAGUUGAUUCUGGACAAAGAAAGAUAACUCCAAUUAAAAAAAAAUCUUGCUAUUGCACAAUAUUUUGCAAUUAGAUAUUUCUUGCUUACUAUUCUGGACAAAGAAAGAUAACUCUAAUUAAAAAAAUAAUUUGCUAUUUCACAAUAUUGUGCAAUUAGAUAUUUCUUGCCAUUGCGCAAUACUGUGCAAUUGAAAAGACUUGCUAUUGCACAAUACUUAAUAUAAUAAUUUUAGAUCCUGAUUUGGACCAACUUGAAAACUGGGCCCAUAAUAAAAAAUCUAAGUACAUUUUUGGAUUCAGCAUAUCAAAGAACCCCAAGAUUUCAAUUUUUGUUGAAAUCAGACUAAGUUUAAUUUUGGACCCUUUGGACUUUAGUGUAGACCAAUUUGAAAACAGGACCAAAAAUGAAGAAUCUACAUACAUAGUUAGAUUUGGUAUAUCAAAGAACCCCAUUUAUUCAAUUUUUGAUGAAAUCAAACAAAGUUUAAUUUUGGAGCCCGAUUUGGACCAACUUGAAAACUGGGCCAAUAAUCAAGAAUCUAAGUACAUUUUAAGAUUCAGCAUAUCAAAGAACCUAACUGAUUCAUUUUUUGUCAAAAUCAAACUAAGUUUAAUUUUGGACCCUUUGGACCUUAAUGUAGACCAAUUUGAAAACGAGACCAAAAGUUAAGAAUCUACAUACACAGUCAUGACAGUUAGAUUCGGCAUAUCAAAGAACCCCAAUUAUUCAAUUUUGAUGAAAUCAAACAAAGUUUAAUUUUGGACCCUUUGGGCCCUUAUUCUGUUGGGACCAAAACUCCCAAAAUCAAUACCAACCUUCCUUUUAUGGUCAUAAACCUUGUGUUUAAAUUUCAUAGAUUUCUAUUUACUUAUACUAACGUUAUGGUGCGAAAACCAAGAAAAAUGCUAAUUUGGGUCCCUUUUUGGCCCCUUAUUCCUAAACUGUUGGGACCUAAACUCCCAAAAUCAAACCCAACCUUCCUUUUGUAGUCAUUAACAUUGUGUUUAAAUUUCAUUGAUUUCUAUUUACUUAAACUAAAGUUAUUGUGCGAAAACCAAGAAUAAUGCUUAUUUGGGCCCUUUUUUGGCCCCUAAUUCCUAAACUGUUGAAACCUAAACUCCCAAAUUCAAUCCCAACCGUUCUUUUGUGGUCAUAAACCUUGUGUCAAAAUUUCAUAGAUUUCUAUUAACUUAAACUAAAGUUAUAGUGCGAAAACCAAGAAAAUGCUUAUUUGGGCCCUUUUUGGCCCCUAAUUCCUAAAAUAUUGGGACCAAAACUCCCAAAAUCAAUACCAACCUUCCUUUUGUGGUCAUAAACCUUGUGUUAAAAUUUCAUAGAUUUCCAUUCACUUUUAUUAAAGUUAGAGUGCGAAAACUAAAAGUAUUCGGACGCCGGACGACGACGACGACGACGACGACGACGACGACGACGACGCAGACGCCAACGUGAUAGCAAUAUACGACGAAAAAUUUUUCAAAUUUUGCGGUCGUAUAAAAACAGCAAAAUUUCCUUAAAAUUACCGAUUCAGGGGCAGCAACCCAACAACCGAUUGACCGAUUCAUCUGAAAAUUUCAGGGCAGAUAAAUCUUGACCUGAUAAACAUUUUUACCCCAUGUCAGAUUUGCUCUGAAUGCUUUGGUUUUUGAGUUAUAAGCCAAAAACUGCAUUUUACCCCUAUGUUCUAUUUUUAGCCGUGGCGGCCAUCUUGGUUGGUUGACCGGGUCACGCCACACAUUUUUUAAACUAGAUACCCCAAUGAUGAUUGUGGCCAAGUUUGGUUUGAUUUGGCCCAGUAGUUUCAGAGGAGAAGAUUUUUGUAAAAGUUAACGACGACAGACGACGACGACGACGGACGCCGGACGCCGGACGCCAAGUGAUGAGAAAAGCUCACUUGGCCCUUCGGGCCAGGUGAGCUAAAAAUUGGCACAUCAUGUUAAGAAAUGCAUAGGGUCAAGAAAUAUAAAUAUCCAAUAACCUCACAAUUACUUCAUAAUAUGUACUGUUUUCACAAAAAUGAUGAAAAAUACAGAAUAUAUGCAGUUUUCUAUCAUUAUUUCCAUUGUGGAAACAUCAUGGCAAGCCAAGAAACAACAAAAUAGUUUAACAUAAGCUUUAUUAUAACUAUUGACUAAGCUAAGUAAGCUUUAUUAUAACUAUUGACAUAAUCUCAUCAUAUAUAGUUGUUUCUUGAGUGUGCACAUACUUUUUAAUCUAAAAUAUACUUCAAAUUUGAUGAAAAACAAGGAUGAUCACAAAAUUUUACAAAAUAUGCAAAUUAAGUCAUGAUUUGUUGCCAUGUUAUGUAACUUGUUCAAAGUCAUUUUUUUUUUCUGACUACCUUGUACCUUAGUCAAGUUUAUAGUAAUUUAAGAAUAUGUAUGAUAAAUUUUAAAUUUGCAGUUUAAUAUUUUUGGGCCAAAUAAGGGCCUUAUUGCCCCUACUCCUUUAAUAUUCAUAGAUAUUUUGUUUUGUUUACCUACUGGUUCCCAGAUAUGAUCUCUAGAGAUACACCUUAAGAAUGUGACCAGUAUAAAUACACAUGGUUGGUGUCCAAAUUGUGUUUGCAUUUUUUGUUGUUACAGCUUGAAAACAUUGAUUUAAGUCUACUUACUUUACAUUUGUUAAUUUUCUUUAAGAAUCUACAGAGUUGCCUGUUGACCUUGGACUGUUUCCAAGAAGAUACUGUAGAACAUGGCAUCUUAGGGUAGAUCUUCAUCACUUUUAGGUCUUACAUCUUUAAGAUAAAUUGAAAUAUAUAUAUAUUUCGGUCACUAUACAUGCUAUAUGGCCUUAAACAAUGAGAAAAACCAAUACCAUAAAAUCUGCAAUAUGAGGUGCUGACAUGUAAAAUGUGAAAACAUGUAAAAUGGGAAACAAUUGAUUAUCUAUAACAAUACAUUAGGCCAACUUGUUUCAGGAUUUACCUAGAUGUAUCAGCAUUUUAUCAGAGCACUUUUCGGAAUACUUUAACAAAGAUUUUAACAAGCAUUAUGUUUUCUAACUCUAUUGGUUGAAAAGAAUGAUAUCAAUUAGUUUUGGCAACAAAAUUUUACACUAAACAUGAUUAAGCUGAGCAAAAUCAAAUCAUUCUAAAAGCUUUUUUCUGUCAUGGUCUGGAAAUUAAGUAAAACUCAUGGCAGUUUUCAGUUCAAAUAAAUUAUGUUUUGACAAAACUAUACUUUGUAAUAUAUUUAUCAUGUUUAUAAAGAGGAAUACAUGUAUAACUAGAGUAUUACACAGAAGGUAAACAGGUGAAAAAUUAUAUACCGGGUACUCCAGAGUCAAAAGUAGAUAAUUAUAAUAUGAAAAUAGUAUAAUUAAUGCAAACAUAAAAUUGAGAAUGGAAAUGGAGAAAGUGUCAAAGAGACAACAACCUGACCAUAGAAAAAACAACAGCAGAAGGUCACCAACAGGUCUUCAAUGUAAUGAGAAAUUCCCGCACCUGGAGGUGUCCUUCAGCUGGCCCCUAAACAAAUAUAUACUAGUUCAGUGAUAAUGAACGCCAUACUAAACUCCAAAUUGUACACAAGAAACUAAACUUAAAAUAAUGCAAGACUAACAAAGGCCAGAAGCUCCUGACUUGGGACAGGUGCGCAAAGAAUGUGGCGGGGUUAAACAUGUUUAUGAGAUCUCAACCCUCCCCCUAUACUGUACCUCUAGCCAAUGUUUAAAAGUAAACACAUAACAAUACACACAUUAAAAUUCAGUUCAAGAGAAGUCUGAGUCUGAUGUCAGAAGAUGUAACCAAAGAAAAUAAACAAAAUGACAAUAAUACAUAAAUAACAACAGACUACUAGCAGUUAACUGACAUGCCAGCUCCAGACUUCAUUAAACUGAUUUAAAGAUGAAAGAUUAUGAUUUCAUCAUGCAUGCUAAACAUUUAGAUCAUUUUUGUUUUUACAGUUUACAUUUUGGAUAGAAUCUGUGUGAAUAUUAAAUCGUACAUUUAUUGGUAAACAAGUAACAUCAAUUUGUUAAGGAUUCAGCCAAAAAGACAUAAGUAAUUCCAAAUGUUUGUUUUACAGUUUUACUGAUUAUUUCUUAAAUAAUGUCUUUAAAUUUGAAAAUACUGAAUGAUUGACCAAGUAAUACCAGUUACUUUCAGAAUCAUUUUAUCAAUUUAAGAAUAAAGAAUUAAUCCUAAGUAAUAAGAUAGGCAAAAUAUACAUUCAAUAAUAACUUUCAGAAUCAUUUUGAUCUAUAUAUGAUCUAAAUCAAAACAACUUUUUUGUGGCUGUGCAGUAUUUAUUAAAUGCAAGUAAUCUCUCAUGUUUAACAUGUUUAAACUAAAUGUGAGCAAUAAAUCUGUCAUGUAUAAAAAAAAUCUGCAUUCAUUAUGAGACAUAAUAAUAAAUGGUUACCUGUUAUAACAUUAAAUAACUAAUAUAAGAGACAUUUAGUAUAUAUGUCUCUGCUAGUAUAUGGAAUAUAGAAUAAAAUAUAAUCUUAUAUAUAUAUCAUGUAUCAUUUAAGGUAUAAUUGCAAAAACCAAAAAUAACCUCCUUCAAUUAUGUAAUAAUCAUGAUAAUGUAGGGAUAAACUUCUAAUGAGAGCGUAGGGUGUGUAUCAUACAAAUGUAGAUGUUUCGGGGCAGAAAUAUAUGCCAGUCGACUGGUAUGCAUUAUACAAUGUUAUACAUGUAUAACACAUACCAGUCAGCUGGCAUAUACAUGUAUAAAUAACACAAAGUAUAACACAUACAAGUCAAAUUGUAUAUAUUUCAGCCCCCAAACAUCAAUGAUACGUGCCCUUGUGAUGAGAGGGGCAGUAUUUACACAUAUCAUGCAUAUUGGGACUUUAAAAUUAAUUAUUCUUUUGGGGGAUUCAGAAAAGAAUGCUUUGUUUUUUGAGGAAUUGCAGAUUAAGCUUGUUUGCCCUGGAAUUUAGAAUGACACCCAUAUCCACCCUUGUGAAGACAGCACAUAAUAAAACAGCUAAUUGCAAAGUCUUUGCUGAUCUCUUUACACAGGCACUUGUUUUCUAUUCAUGGCAAGAUCUGCUAUCCCCAUAAAUUACACCAAGCAUCCCAACCAGAGACAGUUGAAACAUUUGUUAGCUGAUUAUGCAUUACCUUUGCUAUAGCUGCAUGCAGUCUUUUGUUUGUGCUUAUAGUGUUUAAUUUUGCAUGUGCUACAGGAGAUCUUAACAUCGUUCAAGACCGAGAGUUAAAAUCAUUCAUCAGUAAAGGACCUAAAUAUCGUCCCCCGUCAAUUAUUAAUUGGAAUGAGUGUCGUAAUAUCAUCCACGACUCACUCCAUACUUACUGUAUGAAAUGAAUAAAACGGGAAAAAGCCGACAAAAAAUCUUUGGACUCUUUUUUUAAUUCAGUAAUGAAGAUAGUUGAUAUACGUAUUCAACAUUUUAAAGAACAUUUUACUAUUAACAAUAACCACAAUAAACCUAUUUCUCGUAUCAAACAUAAACUAAAAGAACUAGCCAAGGUAUUUGUUUUUGUCCCGGCCGAUAAAGCUGCUAAUAAUAUUAUUAUUGUUUGACGUAAAUUUUACAUUGAGGUUCUGAAAAAGGAAAUCACCAAUUUACCAACAUUCCAACUGACUCCAUUUUCAGAAAACGAAAUCUGUAACAAACAUAAACUUUUAGCCACCGCUUUACAAGCAGAGCCAAAUACAAUGAAAGUCCCAAAUAUGUAUUGGCUUCCGAAGCUACACAAAACCCCUUACAAAUAUAGAUUUAUUUCGUCUUCAAGCCAUUGUUCAACUACUAAAUUGUCUAUUCUUCUUACCAGCACACUUGGUACAAUUAAAAACCUGAUAAUAAAUUGUUCAAAUAAGGCCUUCGAAAAUAGUGGAAUAAAUUACUUUUGGAGUGUCAAGAACUCGUUGGAAGUACUUGAUAAAUUGCAUGCUUAUAUUGGUGAUUUUGAAUCUGUUCAAAGUUUUGAUUUUUCUACCCUGUAUACCACAUUGCCUCACAUUCUCAUUAAGAAAAAAUUCACACACCUAAUUAAAUGGGCAUUCAAAAAUCAGAAUGUGAAUAUAUAUGUUCAAACUCUUUUAGGUCAUUUUUUAGUAGCAAUAAACAAAAAAACUAUGUUAAUUGGACAUGCUUUGAUACUAUAUAUGCCCUUGAAUUUUACUAGAUAACAUUUUUGUUCGCUUUGGGGAUUCCGUAUAUCGUCAGAUUAUCGGAAUUCCAAUGGGGACUAACUGUGCACCACUUAUUGCAGACCUGUUUUUGUAUUGUUAUGAGUUACAAUUUAUGACAAAAAUAAGCAAAGACCCAUCGAAACAACAUCUGAUAAACAAAUUUAAUAAUACUUUUAGAUAUUUGGAUGAUAUUUUGGCUCUCAAUAAUGACGACUUCAGUAUGUAUAUAUUAAUGAAAUUUAUCCUGUUGAACUUACUUUAAAUAAAGCUAAUACUAACAAUGACCACUGCCCUUUUCUUCGAUCUUGAUAUCUAUAUCACUAAUGGGAAGCUGAAUACUAAAAUUUAUGAUAAAAGGGAUGAUUUUUCAUUUCCUAUCGUUAAUUAUCCGUUUUUAGAUGGUGACGUUCCCUUGUCAUCAUCUUACGGUGUUUAUAUAUCUCAACUUGUAUGAUUCGCUCGUGUAUGUAACAAUAUUUUAGAUUUUAACGAAAGAAAUUUAUGUAUUACUGAAAAAUUAUUACACUGGUACAGGGUUUUCGAUAUCACAAACUAGUCAAAACAUUUACUAAAUUUUAUCAUCGGUAUAAAGACAUCAUUCGUAAAUAUAGCUGAACAUGCAGACUUCUAAUACGUUCAGGUAUUUCACAUCCAAUUUUUUAUGAAAAUAUUCUUUAUAAAGCACAAAGGUGUCAGUAUUCACCUCAGAAACUUACAAAACCUUUGAAUAGACUUAUUAAGAAGGGAUAUAAUUACGAUACUGUUGGCAAGUCAUUAAAGAUUGCAUAUUUUGGCGUUAAUAUUGAGUCACUGAUAAGGUCUUUGCAUCGGAACUAAACACAUUUAAUCUAAAAUCAGUUGUUGGCAUGACACGGGUUAUGUUCUUCUCAUAUAUGUUAUGAUGGUAUGAUACUAAACCCCUAACGGGAAGGAUUGUGCCUGAUGUUCAUAUGAUGAAAUCAUAAUCUUUCAGUCAGUUUAAUUGAAGUCUGGAGCUGGCAUGUCAGUUAACUGCUAGUAGUCUGUUGUUAUUUAUGUAUUAUUGUCAUUUUGUUUAUUUUCUUUGGUUACAUCUUCUGACAUCAGACUCGGACUUCUCUUGAACUGAAUUUUAAUAUGCGUAUUGUUAUGCGUUUACUUUUCUACAUUGGUUAGAGGUAUAGGGGGAGGGUUGAGAUCUCACAAACAUGUUUAACCCCGCCGCAUUUUUGCGCCUGUCCCAAGUCAGGAGCCUCUGGCCUUUGUUAGUCUUGUAUUAUUUUAAUUUUAGUUUCUUGUGUACAAUUUGGAAAUUAGUAUGGCGUUCAUUAUCACUGGACUAGUAUAUAUUUGUUUAGGGGCUAGCUGAGGGACGCCUCCGGGUGCGGGAAUUUCUCGCUACAUUGAAGACCUGUUGGUGACCCUCUGCUGUUUGUUUUUAUUUGGUCGGGUUGUUGUCUCUUUGACACAUUCCCCAUUUCCAUUCUCAAUUUUACUCUGAUAUAAAUACUAUGUGCUACAAUAUAUGUGCUGAUAUUUGACAUUUGUUUUAAUAUAAAUCUUGCUUAGAUUUUAUUCAUCAUGUGCUAUCUAUAUAUUAAUACAUAUAUGUGCUGUCUGUCUGUAUGUUUGUGUUGUACAUGUAUGUGUAUCUGAGUGCUAUCUAUAUAUUAAUACAUGUAUGUGCUGUCUGUCUGUAUGUUUGUGUUGUACAUGUAUGUGUAUCUGAUGUUAUUACAUAAAAUUGAGAAUGGAAAUGGGGAAUGUGUCAAAGAGACAAAAAACCCACCAUAGAGAAUACAACAGCAGAAGGUCACCAACAGGUCUUCAAUGCAGUGAGGAAUUCCCGCACCCGGAGGUGUCCUUCAGCUGGCCCCUAAGGCUAAACAAAUAUAUAUACUAGCUCAGUGAUAAUGAACGCCAUACUAAACUCCAAAUUGUACACAAGAAACUAAAAUUAAAAAUAAUACAAGACUAACAAAGGCCAGAGGCUCCUGACUUGGGACAGGCACAACAAUGCGGUGGGGUUAAACAUGUUUAUGAGAUCUCAACCAUGUAUGUUUUGUCUAUUAAUAUCAGUCAGUUUAAAGUGCUCAUGUUCAUUUUUAUUAUGUAUAUAUGCAACCGGACUUAUAUAAAAAUUACUUUACUUUACAUUACUUUUCGCUUUAGCUGCCACCUUUUCAUAAUAGAAGAUUUGUUAGUCCAAAUAAUUAUGACAUAUCUUGAGGCCAUUUCAAUUUUUGCUUUGACAACUUACAGCAAAAUGCGAAAGGCUAUUUUAAUGUUUGCUUUAAAGCAACCUUACCAGCCUUACCAGCGACCUGUAAGGCAUCAGCAAAAAUAAAUAGCCUAUCAAGACCUCAUAAUCAUGAUAAUAAUUUGUGGACUAAAGAUUUAUAGACCAUGGUCAUGGAUAGAAAAACAAGUGCCUGUUGACUUCGCAAAGGCAGGCUAAAUAAGUCGGAACUUUGAUCUUUAAGCAGGAAAAACUAGAUAUACAUGAAAAUAAAAAGGUGAAAUAAAUUGCUAUUACUUGAUUGCUUCAAAUUGGAUAUCAUAUCACAGUCUUGACAGAAUUAGAACACCUCCGUGACCAAUAUCUCUUCUUUACUUUUCAAUGGGGGAUAACUCUAAUUGAGAAUAAAUACUGGGGACCGUCUCAAAACCAGGGAAGCACUAAUGACAGGACGACUGCCCGGAUAGUGACAGGACGGUUGACCGGACGAGAUAUAAAUAGUCAUAAUUUUUUUUGUAAUUUUUGUAGAUUUGUUUAAUAUUUGUAGACCUUAAAGAUAUUAAAAUAUGUUUUAUGAAAAUCAAAAAAAAUAAGUGACAAAAAAUAUUUUUGAGCAAAUAAAGUUGACCGGACGGUAUUCACACCCGCCGUUUUACGCUAUACAUAUAUUCAACUGGUCGACAACAAGUGUUAAUAUCUCUAAUAUAAACUUUAUAGUACAUAAAAAUGAAUUUCUUAAAAAUAAAGUUGACCGGACGGAAUUCACAUUCGCCGAUACAUGUAUAUGUUUUAAAUAUAUUGAAAUGAUCGACACAAAUGUUAAUAUCUCUUUUAUUUUACCAUAUUUGUCCAUGAAAUUAAGAAAUUUCGGAGAUUUAUAAAUAUGUUAUACGAAAAUAUUAAAAAUAAUAUUUUUGAGCAAAUAAAGUUGACCGGACGGAAUUCACAUUUGCCGAUAUAUGCUUUAAAUAUAUUGUACUGAUCGACACAUGUUAAAUAUCUAUCCAUGAAAUUAAGGAAUCUUUGAGCUUUAUAAAUAUACACUUUAUAAUAAAAACUUUGAGCCCAAAAUGUUGACCAGCACACUAGAAGACCUGAUAAUUAUAUUAUUUAUUAUUUAAUUAUAGAUUACUAUCUAAUUUUGACACCUAUCGUAAUCACCAAUCAAGCCAAUAAUCAUGUCAUUUAAGUUUUCACACCUGAGACAUCAAACACAUUUAAUUGAAUUAACUUAUAUAAUCAGUUGGCAAUUAGAAUCCAAUCAAAGAUUACAGUGAAUUGCAUGUACUUUUUAUUAAACAAUACAAAAUCUCAGAUAUAAAACUAGAUAGCUGAGAUCACCAAUCUCCCGGUAUCAAAUCAUUUGAAAAAAUAACAACAAUAUAGAAAGUUUGUAUUUUCAUAUCAUAUAUUUAUUGAUGUCGCAGAUUUCUCAGUUUAUUGUUAAUCCUUAAUUUUUUUUUAUUAAUUUUUUUUUAUUAACAUACAUGUAGAGUUAUCUCCCAUUGAAUUCCAUUUUGUUUUACAAUGUGAAAGCUAUAGAGACUUGAGGAGACAGUUUAUUAAACCUUAUUAUUAUAGACGUCCAUCGUCGUUCAAAUUAGUGCAACUUCUCAGCACUGAAAAUGUAAAAGAUUUGCGUAAUUUGUGUAAAUUCUUGUUUAAUGCACUUAAUCAUAGGACCAAACUGUUAUUGGUCAAUACUUGAUAUUUAUUUGCUUCUCUGAUGUAUUAUGUCAUGUUGUGUUAUAGAAAUGUAUUUGUAUUUAUUGCACUGAUAAGCAUAAUGUGCUUAAAGUAAUAAAGAAUUGAAUGUAUAAUCAACGUGUACAUCGGCGAAUGUGAACACCGUCCGGUUAUUUUUUUUUUGACAGGAAAGCAUUUUUGUUUAUCACGAAGUUUAUAUUUUCGUAAUAUACAUUUAUUAAUCUCAUAGAUUCCUGAAUUUCAUGGACGAAUAUUGUAAAAUAAAAGAGAUAUUACCACUUGUGUUGAUCAUUUCAAUAUAUUUAAAGCAUAUAUCGGCAAAUGUGAAUACCAUCCGGUCAUCUUUUUUAGCAGAAAAACUUUUUUUUAUGCCCCACCUACGAUAGUAGAGGGGCAUUAUGUUUUCUGGUCUGUGGCUCCGUUCGUUCGUUCAUUCGUUCGUUCGUUCGUUCGUUCGUUCAUUCGUCCGUCCGUCCGUCCGUCCGUUCGUUCGUUCGUCCGACUUCAGGUUAAAGUUUUUGGUCAAGGUAGUUUUUGAUGAAGUUGAAGUCCAAUCAACUUGAAACUUAGUACACUUGUUGCUUAUGAUAUGAUCUUUCUCAUUUUAAAGCCAAAUUAGACUUUUGAUCCCAAUUUCACGGUCCACUGAACAUAGAAAAUGAAAGUGGGAGUUUCAGGUUAAAGUUUUUGGUCAAGGUAGUUUUUGAUGAAGCUGAAGUCCAAUCAACUUGAAACUUAGUACACACGUUCCCUAUGAUAUGAUCUUUUUAAUUUAAUUGCAAAAUUAUAUUUUUCAUCCCAAUUUCACGGUCCACUGAACAUAGAAAAUGAUAAUGGGAGUGGGGCAUCCGUGUACUAUGGACACAUUCUUGUUUUACUAUAAAUUUAUAUUUUCGUAUAAUUUAUUUAUAAAUCUCACAGAUUCCUGAAUUUCUUGGACAAAUAUUGUAAAACAAAAGAGAUAUUAACACUUGUUGCCGACCAGUUGAAUAUAUGUAUAGCGUAUAACGGCGAGUGUGAAUACCGUCCGGUCAACUUUAUUUGCUCAAAAAUAAUUUUUUUUUCACUUAUUUUGUUUAAUUUUCAUAAAACAUAUUUUAAUAUCUUUAAGGUCUACAAAUAUUAAACAAAUCUACCGGAUAACAAAAAAGUUAUAACUAUUUAUAUGUCGUCCGGUCAACCGUCCUGUCACUAUCCGGGCAGUCGUCCUGUCAUUAGUGCAACCCUCAAAACCAAAUAUUUCAGUUCAUAUGGUAUGCGAGGUAUGCGUCAACUUUUUUUAAGGCAUUGUUUUUCGGAAGAAAAUCGUAUAUUGAACGGCUGUAUUACUUCUGAAAUAAUAUAAAAUGCGAAACAAAUCUACAUGGAGAGAACUCUGCCGACUAAAAGUCAACUCAGUCCGUCUAUAAAGGGCAUAUAAAGUCAACUCGGAGUAUAUAGUAUUACCAGAGACAUAUAAUACAAUAUAUCUCUGGUAUUACAUUAGUCAUUAGGUCAACUCGAACCAUAUAAAUGCCAACUCGGGCCAUCUAUAAAGUCAACUCGGACAGUCUAUAAAUUCAACUCGAACCGUCUAUAUAAUGACAAAUAAGACAAAGAAACAAAAUAGGAUUAUAAUAAAUCAUUAAAUGCGAUAUUUUACGUGUCAAUAUGAUUUACAUGUUGCUCAGUGAAUUUACAAAACAUUAUAAUCCUUGGUGUUAAACUGAUCAUCGUAAUUGCAGUUACGGUGAUCCCAACAUGGCGGAGCCCAAAAACCGGUAAAAAUCGACUUUUUUUAGUUUCUCCGUGUACAAGCGUUGCUUUCAAGUAUUGAAUUGCUCAAAAAAUAUUUCUUGAUAUCAGCAAGGAUUUGGAACACUUGAAUGUGACACUAUACAAAUCCUUGAUAUCAGGAAUUAUUUUAUUUGAUAUCAAAAAUUCGAUUUCUUGAUAUCAGAAAUAAUCUUUAUUUCUUGAUAUCAGAAAUAAUCUUUAUUUCUUGAUAUCAGAAAAUAAUCUUUAUUUCUUGAUAUCAGAAAAUAAUCUUUAUUUCUUGAUAUCAGAAAAUAAUCUUUAUUUCUUUGAUAUAAAAAAAUAAUCUUUAUUUCUUGAUGUCAGAUAUACAAUUUUUUAAAAUACAAAAAAAAUUUUUUUGAUAUCAAGAAAUUAUUUUAUGAUAUAUAAAAAUGAUUUUCUUGUGAUCAAAAAUGAUAAGAAAAAUAUAAACGAUUUCUCCCUGUGUGUCAAUUUUAAAAGCAUCCAAGUUCACCAAUGAGCCCUGACAAUAGGUUUAGUGUUUCGGUCGUGUUUAUGGAAAGAAUAAAUCAGAGUUCGGCUUCAUCAGUCAUAAGAAGUUUUGUGUUUCACAUAUUUAUUGAUUUAAGGUUUAUAUAUAUUUUUAGUCAACAAUUGUAAGGUCACACUUCUUUUUAAUAUAAGCAUUUAAGGUUUCCUCUGAAAAAGAUUUGUGAAGCCAGGUUUUUGCAAAUAUUAAGUCCAUUUUUUUUUUUUAAUUUUUCGUUGUUUGUUGAGGAUUUGGUAAGUUAGAUAGUUCUGUUAAGUAUACAAAUAAGGAGAUGUGGUAUUAUUGCCAAUGAGACAACUAGAAGCAAUUAUGAUAGGCAACCAUACGACGUUCAACAAUGAUAAUACACCAUACCGUAUAGUCUGCCAAAAAAGAAACACAUGUGUGAUUUAAUUUAUGCCCCAUUUAUGGGCAUUAUGUUUUCUGAUCUGUGCGUCCGUCCGUCUGUCCGCUUCAGAUUAAAGUUUUUGGUCGAGGUAGUUUUUUAUGAAGUUGAAGUCCAAUCAAUUUGAAACUUAGUACACAGUCAUGUUCCCUAUGAUAUGAUCUUUCUAAUUUUAAUGCCAAAUUAGAGAUUUCCCCCCAUUUUCAUGGUCCAUUGAACAUAGAAAAUGAUAGUUCGGAUGGGGCAUCCGUGUACUAUGGACAUAUUCUUGUUUUUAAACAAUUCAAUCUAGAAAGCUUACGGCCUAAUUUACAACAACACAAUUAAAGGAAAACAUAUAUGGCAGACAUGAACCAAAGGCGAUUACUGAACUAUAUGCUCCUGACUUGGGAGAGACAUAUAAAGAAUGUGGCGUGAAUCUGAUUACAGCGGAUUCCAUUUAGUGUGUACCCAAAGGUAAUAUCUUUGGUUAGCUUGCUUAUUAGCUGAACCGUGAAGUCAUUGUUAGGUAACUGGUUAGGUAUACUACCCUCCUUUCGAAGUAGCAUAGUCCAACAGACAGAUCUUUUUUUUGUUUUCUGUCGGACUCUUUUCUUAAAGUAGGGGUGUUACAUCACAACAUAGUGUAAGAACAAAUGUAACAGGGCAACAACAACAAAAUUUGCAUAUUGUUCUUUCUCUGUUGGUCUUUCUUUUAUUUUGCCAUGGUGUUGUCAGCUUUUUGUUCGUCUUAUCGGGGUUUGAAUAUUCCUUUCAUAAGUAUCUUUCGAAUCUCUUUUGUAACUUGAAUUGAAUAGUAGUAUAACAUCACAAACCAAAAGCAUGUACCAGCUUAAAAUCUCAUGAAGACUGAACAAGAAGAAUGCAUUCUUUUCAAUGAUUUUUUUGUAGUCAAAUCAAGGAUGUGUAUAGCAUCUUAGGCCUACUUGAUAAUCAUUGGUCCAAUAUUAUAUAAAAACAAGCAUGUAUCCCUAGUACACGAUUGCCCCAUCUGCGCUAUCAUUUUCUUUGUUCAGUGGACAGUGAAAAUGGUGUAAAAACCGGCUCUAAUUUGGCAUUAAAAUUAGAAAGAUAAUAUCAUAGGUAACAUGUGUACUAAGUUUCAAAUUGAUUGGACUUCAACUUCAUCAAAAACUACCUCGACCAAAAACUUUAACCUGAAGAGGAACAGACGGACGGACGAACGAACGAACGGACGCACAGACCAGAAAACAUAAUGCCCAUAAAUGGGGCUUAAAAAACAAGUGCUACUUUCAGUGUUUGGUACAGUUUGGCUGUCAGUGGGCCCAACAGUUCAAUAUAGAACCCUAUUGGGAAACAAUAAAGAACUCUUUUUGUCAGAAAACACUGUCAUGUCUGUCAAACCUCCAAACAUAACUAUCCACACUGAUCUGUGUCCACACUUGUUAUUACACAAAAUGAAAAUUAAAAGUAACAUAUCGUUUUCCAAAGAAAACCAUCAGAGUAUCCAUUCAGUUACGGCGAUCAUUUUUGUUAACAUUUUUUUUACAAAGAAAAAUAUAUUAGUGAAAUCAAAAAAACAUAUUUACUUUUUGAGAUUGUCCAUAUUGAUAUUCGGAACAUUUCUAUAGAUUUUAACUUCCGUUUAUUCUGGUACUUUAUUUUGAUUGUAAGCAACUAAAAAUUCAUAAGUUCAAAGAACCAGUCCAAUAUCCGCAAUAUAACAACUGAAGCAUGAAAUCGACAAACAAAACAAAAUAAGACGAAGAGUGAUAAAGAACUUUGCACUUACUGUUUUUAAAACAUAACAUUUUGCCAAUGGAUUAUUACAAAAAUUAAAUAAUGGCAAGAAAUGGGAUGUGUCUCAGCACGAAUACUUUUUGAAGGUAAUAUUUCUUGUUUACAUGGAGUUCCAUUAUUUUCACAGCAAAAAAAAAAAUAAAAAAAAAAAUAGAAUAGCAUUAUAAAAGGGAAGGAAUGCCCUUUACUGUCAGUCGUCAAAUGUUCACUUUUUGCUACAUGUACCUUUAGAGUCAAAUUGGUUAAGAUUUUACCAUCAUUCGUCAAAAUACACUAAUCGUGAUACAUGUAUGUCAUGUAUGUUAGAGGUCUCAAAAAAUUUACAACGUUGCAGUUACUUUUGGAAAAGAAUUUUUAUAUCAUCUAAAAGAAAAUGUACAUUUUAUCAUCAUGCACCAAAAAAAAAUGAUAAUGUCAUCUGGCAAGAUUUUUUUUACCAUGUUUACCAUGACGUUAUUCAUCAUGAAGGUACCUCCAUACACCUUAUCGCUACUUGUCCGCCAUUUCUGGAUAUUACACAGGUUCCCGUAAAAAUUUGACGUCACAAAACAAAAUAUCUGACGCCACAAUGGAAAAGUGAUUGUUGUAUGCGUCAAAAGUUCAAGCGGCCGGGUCAGCUGAGAUUAGCGAUAAGGUGUAGUACAAAUCUCUUGGACGUCAUAUUUUUUUGGAUGAUCAAUUUUAAAGCCAUGUGGAAAUUGUAAAAUACAAUGUAUGUCCAGUCCUCUAAAUUAGCACAGGACCGAAGGGACAUGUGACAUGUCCUAUAAAAAUAUAUUUAGACCUGUUGAUUUUGUUGAUUUUGUAAUACAUUCUUAAGAACAAUUUGAUGAAUCAUCAAUUCGGUCCUGUAAAUGACAAGCCCCAAUUUUUAUGAUUGUACAUGUAUAUAAUACUCUUUAAAUAAUUUAAAAGUAUGCCAUCACAGCUACAUGUACGUAAUGUGAGGAUAGGUUUUCUCUUGAAAGAUUGUAAAUGAUACAGUUCCAAGUCAUCUGUUUGUGUACUUACAUGUAUAAUGCAACAAAAUGAUAACACUGUCUUACAUUUGUACAUGUACAUGAAUGUCAAAAUGAUUUGAUUUAAUUAUUAUAAAAAAGAUUAAAAUUAAGAAAGGAAAUGGGGAAUGUGUCAAAGAGACAACAACCUGACCAUAGAACAGAAAGCAGAAAGUUUGUAACUAAUUAGACAUCAAUUAUUUGUCAAACCUUCAUAGAAGUUUAUGAUACAUUUGUACUUUAGCAGAAAGAUUUUCAUGAUAAAGAGAAUACAUUUUAAGCAAAAUUUUUAUUUUGUAAUUAGCAUGAUUAGAGAAAUUAACUUAUUUGAAAGACUAACUUGUACAUUUGUAAAACAAAUCUCAUAUAUAUUCAAAUUUAUUAUCCCUUGAUUGACUAAUGUGUUAGAGUUUAUGAUGAUAAUAUUUUCCAUACAAAAAAAAAACAGCUUUUAAUCCUAAAACCUGAAAACUAUUAAUUAAAAGAAAUUGUUUGUUUUGUAACACUUUUCUAUAGCUGACAUGACUGAUAUAAUUAUUGCUGUUUUAUUGAAGGUAAUGUUAUAAAUAAUAAAUAACCAUAACAACAUUAACUUAUUAAACAGAAAUUGAUCCUAUUUAUAUCAUUAGUAAUUUACAAAAUCACUCUCUUUAAAAGAUGUUAAACUAUUUAAUAAAUAAUAAUUACAGUAUCAGGAGUCACGCCAACUAUUUGUAAACACAUGAAAGUAUUUUUUUUCAUAUACCGGUAAUAAUCAACUUAUUACUCUUUGACAAAAGUUAAAGUUACUACAAUUGUGUAGACUAAUUAUAACAUUGCAGGUGUCUAGAAAAUAGUUUAUCUGCUUAUGGUGAUUAAAACCUUUAUACAUGUAUGGCAUAACUUAGAUAGAAUGUUUACUUAAGUAUUUUUUAUAAUGUGAAAUUUAUUAAACACCCCACUUAUUGCUAAAAAACAAAAACUGAAAGAUUAUAAAACUUUUCUUUAACAAUGUCAACUGCAUAAAUUUAAAAGGACUCUCAAAUUAUACAAAUAAAAUUGAGAAUGGAAAUGGGGAAUGUGCACGUGCCAAAGAGACAACAACCCGGCCAUAGAAAAAAACAACAGCAGAAGGUCACCAACAGGUCUUCAAUGUAGCGAGAAAUUCCUGCAACCGGAGGCGUCCUGUAUGUUUGUCUCAAUUAUCAAAGUGACAAAUUUAUGAAUGUACAUGUACAUGUAAUGUAACGGUUGUGUGUCAUUGACUUUGAUAUAUUAUAACUUUGUCUAAUAAAUAAAUCUGACAUUGAUAGUUUCUGGAAAUACACUACAGACAGGUGCAGAUCCAAGGGUGGGAGGUGUUUCGGGGGUUGGAACCCCCUUUUUUUUGGACGAUCAAUGCAUUGGACAAUAAAAAUGACCAGUAUAUAAAAUGAAUAGUACUGAAUUUCUGUCAGGGGCGGAUCCAUCCAUUUAAAAAAGGGGGGUUCCCUCCCUUUGUCCUGGGUUAGGAACCCCCCUUUUUUAAAUGGAUGGAUCCGCCCCUGACAGAAAUUCAGUACUAUUCAUUUUAUAUACUGGUCAUUUUUAUUGUCCAUGAUCAAAUUUUGAUACAUACAUGUAGUCAUAGAAACAAUGUACUUGUAGUUCUAGAUAAAAAAUCACUGUGCAGAUCAAUAAUUAUUUCAUUACACAUACAUUUUAUAAUACUAAACAUUAACACAUUGUCAUAUUCCACAUGAAAUUCAGUUUGAUUUCACACCUACAUGUACACCUUUAUAUGAUCCAAAAGAAAAUAAGCAUUUUAAAAAAUAGUAUUAAUUUGAACUAGAUCUAGAAUAUUAAGAAAAAAAUUACUAAAACUUGUACUAGUACUAGUUUGAACUAAGAUGAAUCUCCAUUUGGGAUUUAUAUUUUCCCAAUUGUAAAUACAUAGAAGUAUUACACAUUGUAAAUAUGAUAACUUCAAAGAUCAAAGUUAAUCUAUGCUAUAAAAUGACAGAUCAAUCAUUUGUCAAUGAUUAAGUUCUUGGACAAGACUUUCUUUAAUCUAAAAAAUGUAUAAAUCAAAUUUCUACAGUCAUGACAAUCUUCAUUGAAGUAAGACCAGGGCAGCUGAUAGUUAUUACUUUUCUUAUCCUGUUCAUCAGCAGGAUUUUCCCUGUUAUCUAUAUACUUACAAUGACUUUUAAGUUUUUGUAAUUUUAAUUUUGAUAAUGUUUAAGUUAUUUGAGUCUAUUGACAUAGCAUGGCCAAGCACAUGUAGAGUCUACACUCCAGUUGCCAGUUCAGUGUUACAAUUCAUGCAGAAUAAAAUUGAAAAUGGAAACGGGGAAUGUGUCAAAGAGACAACAACCCGGCCAUAGAGCAUACAACAGCUGAAGGCCACCAAUGGGUUAAAUGCAACGAGAAACUUCCACACCUGGAGGCGUCCCACAGCUGGCCCCUAAACAAACAUGUAUACUAGUUCAGUGAUAAUGGACGUCAUAGUAAACUCCAAAUUAUACACAAGAAACUAAAAAAAUCAUAGAAGACUAACAAAGGCCAAACUUCUGACUUUGGACAGGGCGGCGGCUGGGUUAAACAUUUUUUUUGAUAUCUCAACCAUCCCCCUAUACCUCUAGCAGAUUUUUUAUAUCUCAACCAUCCCCCUAUACCUCUAGCAUAUGUAGAAAAAACAAACGCACAACAAUAUGCACAGUAAAAGUCAGUUUACAAGAAGUCCGAGUCUGAUGUCAGGGCUUACAGAAACAUGUAAGGGCCUAGUUAUUUAAAUGCUGCAUCUCUUAUGAUUUGCAUGGAAAAGCUUCAAUGAAUUUUAUCACUACUUCCCUUUUGAGGGAAAAAAAAUGGUUGAAUAUUAAGGGACUCACUGAAGCAUGACUGGAGCCCCCCUCUUAGACAGUCGGGGUGCUCAACUUUUGAAAAUUUCUGGAUCUACCACUGUUUACAUGUAUAUCAAUGACCUAAUAUCAAUAUUUUGUAGUGAGUUUGUUGUCAGGGUUUGUGGGUGUAAGGCUGACCUUAAGGAUAUUUAAAGUUUAAUUUGUCCACUUGUAAUCUAAAAUCAAACAUUGUAACACAGGAACAAUGUUUGUUUAUGAAUGUCUCAAUUAAAUAAGUUAAACAUUGAUCAUCUUAUAAAGCAUUUAAGUUAAGAAAAUCUUCUUUAGAUCUUAACAUGGUGAAAGGGAAACUUUGUAAACUUAUUGUUUAAAAUAAACAUAAAAAGUCAAGUGGGUCUAUUUUUUAUUUAUUAAAAAUUAUAAAGUAUACAGUACAUUUAUUAGUACUUAGUGUACUUUUGCAUUAUGUCAUAAACAUUAAAAGUUUUCAGUUAUGACAAUUUAAUUUAUUUUGACAUGUUUGAAGAUAUUUAAACAGAUAUAAUCUUAUUACAUAUAUAUUAUAUGAAUUUUCCUUAAAACCUCAUUUUCUUCUUCAGAUUCAUUAUACAUUUUAAGUCUCUCAAAGUUUCACUUGUACAUGCUGACCUUGACCCUAAAAGACUGUCAAUAUAUUGUAAUAAAUGUACAUCAUAUUUUAUUGAUAUGUAAGAAAGUUUUGUAUAAAUCUGAUCUUGGUUGGUACACGCUAAUUAAUUUUGUAUAAUUUUAGACGAAGAAGUCAAGAAACCAAUAACAAAGAGAUUCAAGAACCCUAAUCUUAUAACAGGGGACAUUACAAAGAAAAAUGAGUCCAAAUUAGAGCGAGAUAAAGCCAUGAAAUUACGACAACAGGACCGCAUAACUGCAGCAGAGGUUUGUAUUAAAAGUGAAAAAGAAACUUGAAGAUCUAUAAUCUUAAUGGACACAAUUAAUACAUGGUCUUUAGUGAAAUUAUUCUGUUAUUAAUUCAUCAAGAUUAUCAGAGAAUCUGUACUGUACCUGAUGAAACAGUACAUUAUGUAAAAAAAAUCCUUUCUGAGGACUCUGAAAUGAAUAUAAGUCAAUACUUAUAAAUGCACAGCUUUUUAACACUAUGUACAUUUGUGUGAUAUUUGUCACUGGAUAACCUUAGUUGGCGGCCCAGUUAUGAACUUUGACAAAUCCCACAUUGUAAAACUUGUGUACUUUCUGUUAUAAAUGUCUCUUUGCUGAUUUAAACAGAAUAUUAUGAUUUUUUGUAUAUUUAAUUAUAGAAUAACUAAUGUAGGAAUUCAAAUACUAAGAGAAAAAUAUUCAAAGAGUGACCGAACAACACAUUAAUUCACGAAUGCGCACGUAAUUAUCAGUGUUGUUCGGUCACGAGUUAAUUUUUUUUCGAUAUUUGAAUUCUUUAAUUAGUUAUUCUUUUUAUUACAUUGGCAAAUGGCUUUUUUAAAGAAAUUAAUAUAAAACAUGUAAGGAACUAUAUCUUUUUUCUACGCAUUCACAAUUUGUUUUGAUCCGACGUUAUCAACGUCUUGACAACGCCUAUUGUUGUUAACGUCAGGGAGCGAAAUAACCACAUUUAUUUCACAUGUGAAAUUAUUGGUUUUUAUUUAACUGGGAAAUCAAUGUAAUUCAUUGCAACCAAUGUAAUAAUGAUAUUUAAUUGAAUAUACAGGGUGUAUACAUGUUAUAAAUGUACGUACUUGAAAAUAAGAAAUCAGGCACGUAGCUCCCUAUACGCCAACACGCUGUUGCGUGCACAUGAAAUUAAUUUGGCAUGCAAAAAAAAAAUUGCAAAAUAAAAAUUUAUAAAUUAAAUAUUUAAAGGAUACACAUACGAGUAUUCAAAUGAUGUAAUGUCAUUAAAUAGCGGCAUUUGGUUUCAAAAUUAAAGUUUUAUUGCAGAUGACAAAAACGGACAGUAACUUGAAUCUAUUACAAGAUUAUAAUUUGUUAUACUCUUGUAGUUUUGGAAAACAUUUUACAGAGUACGGUUUAUCUGUUUGGAAUGCAAUGUACCAAUCGGCCAUUAAAUUUAUCAGAACCCUUCCAUACAGUUAAAUAUGCUGAUGCGAUGUGACUACCAAAGCCAAUCACCCUGCAAAUACGCAAAAACAGUCUUGGAAAGUCUCAUUAUAUUUUGCGUCCAUAGACCACAUGAUAAUUUACGAGUAAUAUCCUUAAUUAAUAUUCUUUAAUAUUGUUAAAAGUAGUAUAACACUAUAAAACUAAAAAGUCUUUUUCUCGGGAUAUAUAUAUCAGUUUGUUUUGGGGAUAUAAUGUUUUUCUUUUAUAUCUCGGGAAAUCGUGGUACCAGAAAAUGUUUUUUUUUUUCGGGUUUUGACCAUAGGACGGUUAAUUGAGAAGCUACAUGUACAUAUAGGUACAUGAUAAUUUAUGGAACUGGAGUAGCGUCUGAUAUCAGUCAGAAAAAUCACUGCUUUGCGCAUAUCUGCCUGUUGUUGGAAAUACAACAAAUGAACAAAUCGCAUCAUUGUUUGAGACAUACGAAACUGACUUGUCAUGGAAUUUUGACAAAUUCAAUCGGGAGGUCGCUCGAUGGCGAACACACUGGAUUACAUCUCGCGGGGGUGCUACCGCAGAGAGAUCGUUCAGUGUACUUCGUCUGUUGAAAACAUAUGUACGAUUAACAACGAACAACGACGGUAUAGUAUCGCUAGCAUUGCUGCAUAUUCAUCUGGAUUUUUGUGUGAAUAUUGACAAAGUAAUAAAGCAGUUCGUUUCUGCUAAGACCCGAAGGGCAGAUUUUUGACAAUUUUUGGUAAAUUCCAUAACACAAAAAUGUGUGUUUAUGUAUUCAAUUAACCAUGCUUUAUUCUAUUUAUAUGUGUUAUUCAGAAGAUUUUUGAAUAGUUUUGCAUUCAUGAAUUAUGUAUAAGUCCGAUGUACAUGUAGCUUCUCAAUUACCGUCCUAUGGCCAAAACCCGAAAAACAAACCAUUUUUUGCAUAAAAGGGUACCAAAAUUUUUCGACUCGCUUCGCUCAGCGGUAUAUGCUUGCACAUCGUUUCAUUCUAGCUACGCUCCUGGAAAUUAAACUGGAUUGUACUAUAUGUGUAUUCAAAUUGCAUUGACUAUGUAUUAAAAACUUGUGAUAAAUGGUCACUGACCCAAUAAGGGCUAGUUUAUGAUGCUGAUAACGGGCUCCUGAGUUUCAAUCUUAAUGUCAGUAAGAUGUACAAGCUAAUGGAGUUUUUCAGUCAUUCCCUUUAAAUUCAAAAUUCUUACACAAAUUUGAAUAUUUCAUGUAGAAUAGUUCAAAAGAUUUGUAGUAUAAAGAGAACAACCCUACAUUGUAUCAAAUGUAAAAUAAAUCUUAUUUGUAUAUAUAUAUAUAUAUAUUAAAAGACGAUGUGAUAUGAUUGCCAAUGAGACUACUCUCCACAAGAGACCAAAUGACACAGAUAUUAACACUAAUAGGUUACUGAACAGCCUUCAUCAAUGAGCAAAUCCCAUACCACUCAGUGGCGGAUCCAGAAAUUUUCAUAAGUGGGGGCCCACUGGCUGCCUAAGAGGCGGCGCAAUUUUGUCAUGCCUAAGUGAUUCCCUAUAUAAGCAACCAAUAUUUUUCUCAAAAGGGGCCCCCCUCCCUAAAUCCGCCUCUGCCACUGUGCAUAAUCAGCUAUAAAAGCCCAGAAAAUAACAAAUGUAAAACAAUUCAAAUGAGAAAACCAACAGCCUAAUUUACAUGGUAAACCCUAGUUUACAUGGUAAACAAUAAUAUCAUUUUAUGUACAAAAUAAUGAACAAACAAAAUUUAACAGCAAUUUGAACAAUUUUUCUUGGAUUCUGUGUGACACAGGAUAAAAAUGCUUGGCAAAACAUGUUUCUUAGCCAUCUACAGAAGCAUUUUUAUAUUUUGAGACAAUGAAUAGUUCAAUAAACAGGAUAAACAUUCCAUAACUACACAAAAACACAUCUAUAAAUGAGCAUAACAUUUGCUUAUGGUUCCAAAUUAAGUUUCGAUAUAUAUAUUAGCAGACCUAUUCACAAUAUUUUAUUUUUAUUGAACAAGAUACAUUUGUAUGUUAAUCAAUGUCAUCAGAAUUAAUGAUAUGUUAACAUAAAUAAAAUUCUAAUGAUUAUAAAAGAAAACAUGGUUGAUAGAUUUUUACUGUUUGUUUAACUGUUUCAAAUAAUUCAUCUUGUAUCAUGUUCUUCCAGUACAAAUUUUACAUGUAUAUUUCAUUGUUUAUUGAUGGCAGUCCAUAAAAUAUUGAAAGUAGUUGUGUUUCUACGAUAUAAUGUAAGUUACAGUUAAGAUCAAGGGAAAUUAAUGCAGCUCCAAAUCACCUGAUGUGUGAAAUUUUGACGCAACAAACAUAAAUGUAAUGUGGCUUUUAGGUGCACUCCCAAUAUGCAUAAGAAAUUCAUUUCUUAACUUUGCGUAUAAAUAUUCGCAUACUGAUCAGUACAAUAAUGUCAAUUUCUCAUCCCUAUUUGCUUUUUGUUUUUAUUUAUGUUGCGGAGGGUAUAAUGUUUUUGACCCGUCCGUCCGUCAGUCCGUCCGUCAGUCCUGUUUCUUGUCAUCGCAACUCCUCUCAAACCACACAACAGAAUUUCACGAAACCUUUUCAGAUAAUAAGGACAUACUAUGUAGUUGUGCAUAUCGACGGGAAAUUGCGAUUCAAUUUUUUUUCUAGGAGUUACGCCCCUUUGAACUUAUUUACUUUAAUGUACUACUGCAACAGUUUGUCAUCGCAACUCCUCUCAAACCACACAACAGAAUUUCACGAAACCUUUUCAGAUAAUAAGGACAUACUAUGUAGUUGUGCAUAUCGACGGGAAAUUGCGAUUCAAUUUUUUUUCUAGGAGUUACGCCCCUUUGAACUUAUUUACUUUAAUGUACUACUGCAACAGUUUGUCAUCGCAACUCCUCUCAAACCACACAACAGAAUUUCACGAAACCUUUUCAGAUAAUAAGGACAUACUAUGUAGUUGUGCAUAUCGACGGGAAAUUGCGAUUCAAUUUUUUUUCUAGGAGUUACGCCCCUUUGAACUUAUUUACUUUAAUGUACUACUGCAACAGUUUGUCAUCGCAACUCCUCUCAAACCACACAACAGAAUUUCACGAAACCUUUUCAGAUAAUAAGGACAUACUAUGUAGUUGUGCAUAUCGACGGGAAAUUGCGAUUCAAUUUUUUUUCUAGGAGUUACGCCCCUUUGAACUUAUUUACUUUAAUGUACUACUGCAACAGUUUGUCAUCGCAACUCCUCUCAAACCACACAACAGAAUUUCAUGAAACUUUGUAGAUAAUAAGGACAUACUAUGUAGAUGUGCAUAUCAACAGGAAAUUACGGUUCAAUUUUUUUCUAGGAGUUAUGCCCCUUUGAACUUAUUUGCUUCAAUGUACUUCUGCAACAGUUUGUCAUCUCAACUCCUCUGAAAACACACAACAGAAUUUCAUGAAAUUUUGUAGAUAAUAAGGACAUACUAUGUAUAUUGACAGGAAAUUAUUAUUCAAUAUUUUUUCUUAUACUUAUUUAAUUUCUCCAAUGACAAUGUGGGGACGUGGGGUAUGUGAGCGUGCUCACUAAGGUUCUUUAAUUAAGAAAUAUUUAUGUUUGUAUGAGCACAGCGAAGGAGAUUAGUUGAAAUAGAUUUAUUGCGUCAUACAAUGUAUGUCCAAUUUUAGGUAGGAAAGACGAAAUUUAAUGCAACUCUAAUUUUUUUGUGGUAAAAUGAGUUUUUGUUCUACCCUUUAUAAACAGAAUUGCAAUUAAAUCUGUGUUAGUGUUGGGAAAAUCACAAUCCAUUAACCUGAUGAAAAUGUAAAUUGAACGAUAAUGAACUAUUUGGUUUAUUUGUGAUUUAUAAAUCUAUUUUCAAUGCAAAUACCUUUAAUUUUAUUGCAUGUUUCAGAAAUAUAUCAGGUGAUAGAUAGGGUGGGUCUUUAACUUUUGAACAACAACAUAUUGAUUUUUUUUUUGUAUGCUCAAAUCAACAAUUAGAUAAAUAUAUUUUGGCAUAAUGUCAAUAUUUUUUAUUCUUGUCAAUAAAAGAAGUGGAAUUUAGAUUGAUACAUGUAUAAUGUAUAUAGCGGCAUGCAUAAGUACAUGUAAACAUAUGAAGAAAUGCAGACAUUAUGGGACAACCAUUUGAUUUUCUGGGGGGUUGGUGGAGGGAUGGCUGGAGUUUUUUUUCCAGUUUGUUUAUUAAUUUCCCCUUUUGUACACAUUAAAAGCAUCCAGCACUUUGUGCUGCAGAAUAUUCAUUUUCCACCUGUUUUGUGUUAAAUUAUUUUUUUCAGUUCUUUCCAGGCCAAGUAAUUCAUUUUUGAAAUACACCUCUCCCCCUGGUAAUUAUGAAUGAGUCUACAUGUGAAACCAACUCUUCUGUAUUUAAUCAAGCAGAAAUCAAAAUAGUACAAAAUAAAUAUUGACUUGAUGCAUCUCAUGCAAAUAUUUUGCAGAAGUCAUCUAGAUGUGCUUCAAGGAUUUUAUUUGAGAAAUGUAAAAGCAUUUUAAAAAUAGAAGCUAAGAAUUAAAUUUUGUUUAUCUUUUUAGAUAGAAUUAUUCGAAAGUUUUAAUGAUUUUCAAUUAUGAUAUGUUAAAUAACAUAAGGAUAUAAAAUUAAGUAAAACAGGAUUAAAGUAUUAACCUAGCAUGGUGUAACACUGGGCUAGACUCUGUUUAACUGUUUUAAAUCAUUAAAAGGAAAAGGCCAAGGGGAAAAUCUGUUUAUAAUUCAUAUAUUUUUCAACCCUGUCUUCUUUAAUGGAUUUGAAUUAAUAGGAUUAUUUUAGGGUUAAACUGUUAUGUCAUUUUCAAAUAUUUGUUGUUGUUGAUAGUUGUGCAUAUUUUGAAAGUCAGUGCUGAUCAACUUUUUUCAGAAGGGUUAUUUUAAAAGUAUAUAAAAUAUUGCAUUGUUUUGAAAUAGCAAACUUUUUUUUAUUCAACUAAAUCUAUGAAUAAUUUUGUGCAAUGCUAUUCAUUUUCAAUGUUUAUAGUACUGCAAGAAGACCAUAUAUAGGAUAUAAAAUUAUCCCAUCCUUUAAAAACUAAAAUUCCAAAAUAUUUCUUUGUUUUUGAAGUAUACAGUGCAUAAUUUUUAUUUCAUGGUUUAGAUUUUGAUAUAUAUUCCAACCCAAACCUUGUAAACAACGUAUGUAAACUGAAUUUAGUACAUUUUAAUAGGUUUUUCCAUUUAUUGAAUACAAUGCUUGGAUUUAUUUCUAAAUUUUACAUUUUAAGGGGAAUGAAUGUAUUGAUGAAAGUCAUUAGAGCAGUGAAUUACAGGAUCAAAUUUAAUGAUAAUUUUAAUAUUUCAAGUAUUGUAUGUGUUUGACAAACAGUUAGUGAUAAAAUUAGUACUGAAAAACUACGUCAAUGGUUGACUUGUACUUGAUACCUAAACAUUAUAGUAGUAAUACUGUUAGCUUUGUAUAUAUUAUUGAAUUAAAUUACACUUUUGUUGAAAUUUAAUUAACCUCAAGCAAAAAAAUUAUUCAGCCUAUUCAGGGAGUUUAAGUUUAGAAUACAAAUUAUGCAGCAUCAACUAAUUCUAUCCUUCCACCCUCGAUUUGGUUUCACCGUUUGCAUCAUUUUAAAGCAGUAAUGUAGAUUUAGAAGUCUCAUUUUUCCCCAAUAAUGAAAACCUCACAAUAAUUUCUGAAUUUACAAUACCUCAUUUUGAUUAUUUAGCUUUUAAGGACAAAAAUUGGCAGGAGAAAAAUAUAAGAUUAUGAAUCUCAGUGGUUUACAGGUAUAGUUAUAUGGUAAAAACCCAUCUGUUUCAAUGGGCAUACAUGUACAGGAUGUAUAAAAAAAAAUGUUAUAAAAAACAAGGAGAUGUCGGGGGUAUGAUUGCCAGUGAGACAAAUAUCACCAAAAUCCUAAAGGGCAAGGAUGAUAAUAACUACAGAUCGCUGUACUAAUCCUCACUAAUUCUAUAAAAAUGGAAAAUAGUUGCUAUUGAAAAAAACCCUGGAUAACAAAAAUUGAAACAAUGUCUGAUUGCUAGGAGUGUUUAAUCUGUCAUUCUAAAUUUCUGAUUAUGAUAUCUUGUUUAGAGUUAGUGACUUGUUCGCAUCAAUUUUCACAACCUUAACAACAUUUCUUUGAAGCAUUUGUAUGCAUUCUUUUGCAAGCCCUAUCAAUCAUACCCUAUUUACCCAUUUUUCCUGUCAACAUUCUAUACAGAUCAUAUACCUUUUGGAUCUUUCUCUCUGAAUAUGAAAUAUUUGCAGUUAAAGAUUAAGCAAAGAACAAUUUAUCAAUCAUAUAGACUAUUUUUUAUAAAAAUAUAUUCUUAGACUAAAUCCAAAAAUUAUUAUUUCACAUGAUAUAUACAUGUAGCAGUCAUUUUAAAUUUGUUAAUUUAGAAGUCAUUUUUUUUUUUCUCCAGGAAAUAUCGCUGAGGACAUUAGAUGAGAAGGAAAGAUUGUCACUUGGUACUAGAUCAAGAGGUACAUCAAGGGUGUCAUCUAGAGCAGGAUCUCCUAUUCAACCUAGAAGUAUGAUACUAUUUUAUUAUACCCAUGCUAAUUGAUAGCUACAAUGUACAUUGAUGUAGUAAAAGGAGCUUACAUUGUAUAUAGAUUUAAAAAGAUGUGGUAUGAGUGCCAAUGAGACAACUCUCCAUCACAAUUUCUAAAAAGUAAACAAUUAUAGGUCAAAGUACAGCCUUUAACACUGAGCCGUGGCUCACACCGAACAGCAAGCUAUAAAGGCCCCAAAUGAUGUACAUUUAUGUAUUUUAAUAUUGUUGUUUUAUUGAUGAUGGUCUGAUCCUCAUUUCCAAACUUUGCCCUGAUAAUUUGAUGAUUUUUUUCAGCUAAUCAGAAAGCAAAUAAACAAAACAAGUGUAUACCAGAAUGA
rnacentral:lncRNA from 1 species